GAUUUUCUGAGGUGUUCGAUUAUUCCUAUUAUGGUGUUGACCGAUCAAGUAAUUAAAUUUGGGAUCGGCUUUCAAUCUUUAGAUCAAGCAUGCCUUUUCACGAGGAAGCUAGUAUCUUUAGGUAGCUGAGCCCACCUGCCUUUUCGCGGGUUCAAUCCGAAGGGAUUAACAACGGCACUACCAGAUUAUCU
rnacentral:other from 3 species